ensembl:lncRNA
CAUCUACGUCUUUAUACAAAAAUUAACACAUGGGCAAAAACAACCUUAUUUACUGGAUUUAAUGUCCAAUCUUGUUUUGUACCUUGUAUUUGAAGAUAUUAAAAUCCCCCCACUUACCUGGUAGGAAGGACAGGAGGAGGAGAGAUGUAAGAAACAUGUUUCUCUGUUGAAUGGCAGACAGUGUCUGUCUGGGUAUUGACAGACAGGGUGGUUGCAGUGAUGAAGGUUGUGUCUGUGUGUGUGUGUGUCUGUGUGUGUGGCUGCACCUCAGAGCUGGUCAUUGAUAUACAGUUAUUAUCAGAGGGGAUUAUUUGCAUAUUCUCCGUCUUUUAUUGACAGAGUAAACAGGAGUCAAUAUUGAGACAUCAACCUAGGUUCCGGAAAAAAUGCUUAUAUUGUACAGAUUUCCAUGCAAACAUUCAUGACUAACUCAACAAUACUGUUCUACAGUGAUCAUGGAGGAUUAAGAGUUUUCCCCCCGUGUGGGACCACAGACUGUGAGAGACUAAGAUAAUAUUAAUAAAGAAGCUGUCUAUUACAUCAGGAGAUAGUGCUGCUGUUGGGUAGGUGGGGGUUUUGACUACCACAGAUUUCAUGGUCAGUUGUUCUAGGUCAGAUAGUUAGUUUGCUCGAUGUGUCAUUCACCACAGAGAUUUGGAACAUUACACCAUUCUGCAAAUCUAGUGCAGCAAGAGAUAGUGUUAAAUGAGAGAGAAUGGUGCUGUGGUUGAAGAAGGGAUAUACAGUCUCUACUUAGGAAAGUGUAGCUAGUUCACACCGCAUGUUACAGACGUUAAGCAUCAAGUGUAUGAGAUACAUGUUAUACAGUGUAGGAGAGGGAAUUGGAGAGAUACCUGGCGAAACCUUUAGUUCAGCUCAACAUUAAUGUCAUUUGGACAGUCAUGGAGGAAGGUUUGAUUUUGAUAUGCCUGAAGUGCAGUUUGAUUUUGGUGAAGCGGACCUAGAGAUGGAUCACUAUGGUGAUGUUGAAGAGGAGGGAGAAGAAGAAGAAUAGGAAGAGAAGGGAGAUCGUGGACGCUCAGGCCGGCCCAGACGACCCCGACAGCCACAACAGCAACGGGCUCUAAGACACAUAGGAGUCCAGAUUAAAGACUACCUCUGUUGCUCUGUGUUAAACACCAUGUUCUGAAACUUCAUCUUCCUAGUGCUCCUGGCCCUGCUCUGCUCUUAUCAGGUGAGGAAGAGGAUGGCGAAGAGGGACCUGAAGGGGGUGCGGCAGUGCAGUGGUCAUGCUUACAGGACCAACACGGCUGCUGUGGUAGUGACCCUCUGUGGCCUGGCCAUUUUCUUCCUCUGUCUAUAUUUUGGUCAUUUUCUUUCUGACACAAGCGUGCUAUAUGAAGGAUUGUCAUCAUAUUCGAAUAGUUAUGAUGCCCUCAAAAGCUACCACCCCCCCAAGUUCUGGCCGCAGCCCCAGUUCCGGCCACCGGGCGAGUCCAGGAAGAUGCCCCAGGGGGAGAGGAUAGGGUCACAAAGAGACAGUCAGUACACAUUAGUAAUACUAGACUUAAUAGCCAGGGACGUUAAUGCUACAGGCCUAUAUUCGUUUAGCACAAAUGGGUUUGUUGAAUUGGAGAUGGGUACUAAAGUAGAGCUUUUUCAUAGCAUACAGGAUUGUAUGUAUCAAUGCAGAGUGUGCAGAACAAUACUGUAAUAAUACCUUAUGCCCAUCACUACUCUUUCUAAGAGAGGUCUUGGUGGGACCCUGCUUGGUGGUCUCGGAGUUUGGCAUUCGACAUAGUUUUUAUUCUUUACCCUGUCAAAAACCUUCCUGCAGAAUCCAUGCUCAGCUAAUAUUUGUGUGAUUUUACAGAAUCGUUGCACUAUUAUUUCAAAUUGACUAACUAAAAACUAAAGUCGUAUAUUAGCUACACAUAGUAUUACUAUAUGGAAUGUUGUCAAAUAUCACUUUGAUAUGAAAUAAAAUUAUUUUUCACAAUUCAAUAUCGUUACUGUUAAGUCACUGUUAAGUGUUCAGUCAAAGUUGGCAAACCCUCUUCUUUUGGACAGUCAAGGUCCUUAUGUCCUUAAUGUAUUUUCUGCUCUUUCUGAAAAGGACAGGUCACAACAUAAGAAAAACCUCAGAGAGCUUAUUCAUGAAGCAUGG